rnacentral:lncRNA from 1 species
CUGGUUUUAAUAGAAUCCAUUUAUUUUGAUUUCUACCUACUUCAUCUUUCCAAAGGGCUUUCUGAAUCAGCUGUGAUAAAAAAGCAAAAAAAAAAAAAAGCAAAAAAAAAAGCUUGGAUGCAUCUAAACAUGGGAAGAUUUGCUGAGGCACAAAGGGCGUGCUGCAGAGAGGAUGGUCCUGGUCCCGUCAAGUCGAUAGGAGCAUUGCAAUCCCCAGGCAGGGGGACUGGGAACCUGUUGCUGCCUUGCAGAGAAAUAGACGCUGUUCUUCAGUCCGCUGAUAAGAACUCCUUCCCUGGGCAGCCUGAAGUAGUGUGUGGCGACCCUUCCCAUGGCAGAGUUCUUGGAAAUAGAUGAUCUUUAAGGCCCCUUCCAACCCAAGCCGUCCUAUGAUUCUGUAGGUAGCAGUACAGCACCACAUUGCUGACAGUGGGGUACAGAAGUGUGUCACACUGUAGUUGGAGCAUUUGCUUUGAGAGAAAAUAGAACUAUCUGCAUGUGCUGGUAUUCAGUUCUUGAGCAAAGGAGAGCUUUUUAUUAAUUUUUGAAAUAGAGGCAACUUAAUAAGCUUGAACAUGUUUUUUAUUAUUCAGAAUGGUUAACAUGGGAAACAUGUAUUUGUAAACAAAUAUGUUUAAACAUACACUUAAAUAUCUUUGGAUAAUUUAUUAAUGAAUUUGUUGAAGCAUAGAUAGGACUUUACUAUCUGAAAUACGACCAGCCAAGCACAGUAACCACUCUCUGAAAUCACUUUAGUAAGUCAUGAAUUAAACCUAAUACAUCUGAGGAUGUGUUAAAUCCUAUUUAUGGAAAGACACCAUGAUCUAAUAA